rnacentral:tRNA from 1 species
GGGGAUUUAGCUCAGUGGUAGAGCGCUUGCCUGGCAAGCACAAGGCCCUGGGUUCGGUCCCUAGCUCCG